UACGGGGGAGCAAGCGUUGUUCGGAUUUACUGGGCGUAAAGGGCGCGUAGGCGGCCAGCACAAGUCAGUUGUGAAAUCUCCGAGCUUAACUCGGAAAGGUCAACUGAUACUGUGCGGCUAGAGUGCGGAAGGGGCAACUGGAAUUCUUGGUGUAAGCGGUGAAUGCGCAGAUAUCAGGAGGAACACCGGUGGCGGAAGGCGG
rnacentral:rRNA from 1 species